UACGAAGGUGGCAAGCGUUGUUCGGAUUUACUGGGCGUACAGGGAGCGUAGGCGGUUGGAUAAGCCCUCCGUGAAAUCUCCAGGCUUAACCUGGAAAGUGCAGAGGGGAGUGUUCAGCUAGAGGAUGGGAGAGGAGCGCGGAAUUCCCGGUGUAGCGGUGAAAUGCGUAGAGAUCGGGAGGAAGGCCGGUGGCGAAGGCGGCGCUCUGGAACAUUUCUGACGCUGAGGCUCGAAAGCGUGGGGAGCAAACAGG
rnacentral:rRNA from 1 species